GCAUUAAUGGGGUAGUGGUAACCUGGGUCGUUGCCAUACAAAUUGUGGCUGGAUACUCGACCCGCCGGGGGUUCGAUUCCCCCUUAAUGCA